ensembl:lncRNA
GGUGCAUCAGUUCUGCACUAAGAAUGCUGAUCCCACGUGUGAGAAUGCUGAUCCCACAUGUUAGGCGCAGGUGCCGCAUGUAGGUUAGUGAAACUAGACUAAGCACAAAAGAAGAGAUGAUAAUUAAAAAAGAAGAGAAGAAAAAGGACUUUCCUGGUGGUCCAGUGACUAAGUUCCUGAGCUGGGGGCCCGGAUUUGAUUCCUAGUCAGGGGACUAGAUCCAGCGUGUUACAACCAAGACUGGGCACAGCCAAAUACACAUUUUUUUUUAAAAAACAAGAAAAGAAUAAAGGAAAAAAAUUUUCUCCUGUGAUAAGA